GAUGAACGCUGGCGGCGUGCCUAACACAUGCAAGUCAAGCGAACAGACGAGUUUCUUGCUCCUCUGACGUCAGCGGCGGGCGUAAGAGUAACAUGAGGUUACCUUACCUAUAAGACAAGGACAACUUCGGGAAACCAGUGCUAAUACCGGAUAAUAUAUUCAACGGCAUGGUUGAAUAGUUAAAGAGGGUUUUGCUGUACCUUAUGGAUAGCUGCGCGCGGCAUUAGCUGGUUGGUAAGAUAGCGGCUUACGAAGGCAACGAUGAGUAGCCGACCUGCGAGGGUGAUGGGCCACACUGGAGCUGAGACACGGUCCUGACUCCUACGGGCGGCAGAGGUAGGGAAGCUUCCGAGAUGGGCGAAAGCUUGAAGGAGCAGCGCAGCGUGAGUGCUGAAGGUCUUCGGAUCGGAAGACUCUGUUCUUGGGGAAAACCACAUGUAGAAGUAGCGAUGCUCGUCGUGACGGUACCUGCUCAGAAAGCCCCGGCUAACUACGUG
rnacentral:rRNA from 1 species